rnacentral:rRNA from 1 species
AGAGUUUGAUCAUGGCUCAGGAUGAACGCUAGCGGCAGGCUUAACACAUGCAAGUCGAGGGGCAGCAUACCCAGCAAUGGGUGAUGGCGACCGGCGGAAGGGUGCGUAACGCGUGAGCAACAUGCCCAUAUCAGUGGGAUAAUCCAGGGAAACUUGGUCUAAUACCACAUAGUAUCUUUUAGAGACAUCUUUAAAAGAUUAAAGAUUUAUCGGAUAUGGAUUGGCUCGCGUGACAUUAGCUAGAUGGUAGGGUAACGGCCUACCAUGGCAAUGAUGUCUAGGGGUUCUGAGAGGAAGGUCCCCCACACUGGAACUGAGACACGGUCCAGACUCCUACGGGAGGCAGCAGUGAGGAAUAUUGGACAAUGGAUGGAAAUCUGAUCCAGCCAUGCCGCGUGCAGGAAGAAGGUCCUAUGGAUUGUAAACUGCUUUUGUACGGGAGCAAUAAGGGCUAUGCGUAGUUCGAUGAGAGUACCGUACGAAUAAGGAUCGGCUAACUCCGUGCCAGCAGCCGCGGUAAUACGGAGGAUCCGAGCGUUAUCCGGAUUUAUUGGGUUUAAAGGGUGCGUAGGCGGUUCAAUAAGUCAGUGGUGAAAGUUUUCGGCUUAACCGGAAAAUUGCCGUUGAUACUGUUGGGCUUGAAUUUGGUUGCUGUGAGUGGAAUGUGUGGUGUAGCGGUGAAAUGCUUAGAUAUCACACAGAAUACCGAUUGCGAAGGCAGCUUACUAAAGUGUCACUGACGCUGAUGCACGAAAGCGUGGGUAUCAAACAGGAUUAGAUACCCCGGUAGU